rnacentral:misc_RNA from 1 species
UCUCCGUAGGUGAACCUGCGGAGGGAUCAUUACUGAGUUAUCUAACUCCUAAACCACUGUGAACUUACUUACUGUUGCCUCGGCGGGUCUCUCUCGGGAGCCCGCCGGUGGACUACUAAACUAUUGUUAAUAUUGUCAAAUCUGAAUCAAAAACUUAAUAAGUUAAAACUUUCAACAACGGAUCUCUUGGUUCUGGCAUCGAUGAAGAACGCAGC